rnacentral:tRNA from 1 species
AUUCUUCUAGUACUAAUUAGUAUAGAUGACUUCCAAUCAUCUGAUCUUGGCUAAAAACCAAGGAAGAAUA